rnacentral:ribozyme from 1 species
UGCCCAGCAGCUUCUAUCCCUACCUCCUCGCGGUACUGGCCGGGGUACGAGUAACCUUAGGGAAGA